UCUGUCUCAAAAAAAAAAAAAAAAGGAAUAAAUUCAGUUUAUGUAAUAAUUAUAGUAUUAUCCUACUUCAUCUUUGGUGACUUCUGAUAGUUCGAGGUUCUCUAGGAAUUGGCAUAUUUUAUUUAUGUUGUUGAACAUAUGUGAUUUGUUGGUAAUACUUUUUUUAAGUUAUGCUUUUCAUUUUUGUGGUUUGUGUAGUAAUAUCUGCUUUUAUUGUCGACAUUGGUAAUUUGUGUCUACUUUCUUCUUUUUCUUGUGAAUAUCAGUGGAGAUUGAUCAAUUUUUAAAGUCUUUUCAACUAACUAUGUUUUGAUUUCUAAAAUUUUCUCUAGGAUUUUAAAUUUAUAAUUUUAUUGAUUUUUGUUUCUGUCUUCAUUUUACCCUCCAUUUGCUUAGUUAUAGUUCCUUAGGAUGAAUGUUCUGGCUAUUUACUUGAAAUCAUUUUUCUUUUGUAAUAUGAGCAUUUAAUAUUAAUUUCUAUGUAUUUAAUUAGCUGCAUAUCACAUACACUUAUUUGUAAUAUUUUCAUUUUAAUUCAGUUAAAAAUAUUUUCUAAUUUUCCUUGACAUUUUCACUUUGUACUAUAGAUUCUUAAGAAAGUAUUAAAUUUCCAAGUGUUUAGUGAUUUUUCCUGCUAUCUUUCUUUUACCAAUUUCUAGUUUAAUUCUAUAAUGUUCAGAGAACAUACUCUGUAUGAGUUCUAUUAUCUAAAUGACGUAAGAUUUGUUCUAUUAUCCAGAAUAUGGUCUACUUUGGUGCUGUGGUUUGAAUGUGUCCUCAAAAAGGGAAGUGUUGGAAACUUAAUCCUCAAUGCAACAGUGUUGAGAGGUGGGGCCUAAUGGGAUGUGUUUAGGUCACCAGGGCUCUACCGUCAUUAAUGAAUUAAUACCACUUAUAAAAGGGUUUGAGGCUGUAAAUGUUCUCUCACUCUCUCACACAUGCUCUCUUUUCUUUUUUCCUUACAUCAUGGGAUGAGGCAGCAUGAAGGCCCUCACCAGAUGUAGCCUUCUCAACAUUGAACUUCUCAGCCUCCAGUACUGUAGUAAAUAAAUACCUGCUUUUUAAAAAUUACUUAGUGUCAAGUAUUUUGUUAUAGCAGCACAAAAUAGAAUAAGACAAGGCAAAUUAAAGGUUUAGUAAGCUAAGUGUUCAAGAACACAUGACAAAAACGUGCCUGCUACUAUUGUUGGGUGGCAUUCUAUAAAUGAAAUUAAAUCCAGUUGGUGAGAGUUGAAGUCUCCAACUACAAUUGUAGAUUUUGUCUAGUUCCUUUUGCUAUGUCAGUUUUUCCUUCCUUUAUGUCUUCUUGAUUUUUUUUCAUUUAAAAUUGUGUAAUUUCCCUAUAUGUUUUUUGUAACUUUCUUUGCUCUCAAUUCUACUUUGACUGACAUUUUUAUAAACCAUCAGAUUUUUGGUCUUGUUUGGAUUAUUGUUGGCAUAGUGUGACAUUUGUGACACACACACACACACACACACAUAUAUUUCCCUCUAUUUUCAUUUUAAACUACCAGUAUCAUUACAUUAGAAGUCAGUUUUUUAUAUAUAGAAUCUAGUUGGAUCAUGAUUUUUAAAAAUUCAUUCUGAUAAUAUGUGUGAGUUAAUUUGUGUGUCCAGACAAUUUACACUUAAUAUGAUUAUUGCUAUGUUUGAUGUAGCUCUACAUUUUUUUAUUUACCUCUUUUUACUUGUCUUUCACCUUUCUUAUUUUCUUUUUGUUGAUUUACACAUUUUAUUUUUUCAUUUUAAUUUAUUAUUGGGUGUUUGACCAUAUCCCUUUGUAUAGUUUUGGAUUUUUUUGUUUUGUUUUUAUUUUGUUUUGCUUUUGUGAUUUCUCUAGUUUUUACAGUGUACAUAUUUAGCUCUUUAUGAUUCAUUUUAAAUCAGCAUUUUACCACUUCAAGUGGAAGAUUGGAAACUUACCAUGAUAUAGGUAUUUUACUUGCCUUUUUGUAUAUUGUAGAUAUCAUAUAUUACAUCUACAUACAUUGCAAACUCCAUUAGUAAAUAGGUUUUUCAUUCCCACGUGUGUUGAGAUUUUCCUGAUCUUCCCUAUGUCUAAAAAUUUUUAAUUGUAUCCUGCAUAUUUUGAAUGUCAUGUUAUGAGCCAUUUGGUCUUGUUUAAAUUAUAUGUACUUGUUUGUUGUAGUAGGCAAUUAACUGAUAUUGAUUUUGGUCACAAGUUCCAACCUGUAUGCUGUGGCUCCAAUUUCAGUUUACUUUUUCAAGAUUUUCUGUGCUAUUUAAAUCUUUCCUGUAUGCGGGUCAUCCAGUGGCAAGUCUGGGACAUAAGUGAUAGUUUAUAUCUGUGUCCAGUUUUCAAAGUGUGCAGUUUAAGAUCAGAUCCAUGCAUACUCAAAUCAGGGUUGAACCCACAAGAUUAACAAGCAAGUUUAUAGAUCACUUUCCUAAGCUUUUCUCUUUCUGUAAUCUUUUUGGUUCUUUCUGAUUUUCUUGGGGCUUGCUUUUAUAUCCCCCAGUCAGGGAGCUGGACUGUAUUUAACCCUAUUUGUUAAAUUCUUAAUUCCAUUGCAACCAUUGUUGAGGCCAAAUGGCAGAAGGACAAAAAUAGUAAAAGCAAUGAACGUUUACCUCAUCUUAAUACCACAACUUCUCUGAUCUAAGAACUUUCCCCUCCUUAAGAGUUUUAGGUAACUGCAGGCCCAUGCUACAGCCAUCAUUACCAUCCAAAGUCCUCUUUCCCACUCCUCAAACUGGAACCAGAAGACAUCUCCUGCAGCUCUCUCUUUCUUCAUUGGUACUCACUUCCAGGUUUUAAGCAGCUCUGAGAUCAGGUUGGCAGAUACCACACAGACAUGGUUUCCCUUUAUCGCUGAAGCUGGAAUACAGGGAUUAUAGCUCACUGCAGCCUUCGGCUCCUGGGCUCAAGUGAUAAUCUUGCCUCGGUAUCCCAAGUUGCUGAGUACCUGAGACUAAAGGUUUAUACUCACCUGUCCAUCAUGUGGAAGCUGGAGAGUCACUUCUUUUGAUAAUUCAAGAAUCUUGGGAUACUUCAGAGAACAAUUCUCAAACAACAACUUCAAACUGACAGACAGACUUCAAGGAACUAUGCAGGAUAGAUGGGUGGCCAAAUGACAAGCUUGGAAAGCUACAAGGGAGUGCUACCUGCUCCUCUCCGUCCAUUCUUUGCUCUCUACUCUGAACUCCAUGUCUUCCACCAAGGUUCACUUCACCACUGUGUCAUUAAAAUGUUCAGUACCAAUAUGCAGACUGUCCGCAAUGAUAGGUAUAAACUGUUCAAGAAGACACCCAUUUCUAGCAAAAUUUCUGACUCCUUUCAAAAUAAAAAUUGGCCCUCUUACAGUAAUUUCACACUGAUAUAUGGCAGGGAUUAAUCCAAAAUGCCUGCAUAUAUUCAGGAUAGCUUUCCUGAGUUGAUUGGCCUUUGACUGUGAAAUUUUAACUACAAAAAUCAAGUUUAUGAAUCAUAUUUGUAUGUACAAAGACAUUCACUGUCAACUGACCUGUGAAAACAUAAAUCAUAUUACCAGUAUGGGGAUUAUUAUUAUAAAAGAAAUCUUUAUGUAGAGAAGAAUUACUAAUGAG
rnacentral:lncRNA from 1 species